rnacentral:tRNA from 1 species
CUGGUGGCUCAGAGGUAAAGCCCCUGCCUGCAAUGCAGGAGACCCGGGUUUGAUCCCUCGGUCAG